UACGGAGGGUGCAAGCGUUAAUCGGAAUUACUGGGCGUAAAGCGCGCGUAGGCGGCUAGGUCAGUCGGAUGUGAAAGCCCCGGGCUCAACCUGGGAACGGCAUUCGAUACUGCCUGGCUAGAGUACGAGAGAGGGGGGUGGAAUUCCUAGUGUAGCGGUGAAAUGCGUAGAUAUUAGGAGGAACACCAGUGGCGAAGGCGGCCCCCUGGCUCGAUACUGACGCUGAGGUGCGAAAGCGUGGGUAGCAAACAGG
rnacentral:rRNA from 1 species